ACUCAUGCCAGUGCAAAGGUAAUAAGGAAGGUGCAGCUAAAGAGCAUGGCUGAACAAACCCAACUCAGUGAUAAGGAUGUGAUGCAAGACUAUGUCAAAUGCCUUGCAGAAGUCCUGGUAGAUGAUAUCAGUUCCCCUUCCUUUGUCCACUGAUGCCAUCAUCCAUGCUAUGAUCCGAGUACUUUAGGCAUCUUCAUGAAGAGGAGUAUUCCAAUCUGUUGACCUAUAACCUUAAUAAAUGAAUCGUGAACAUUGUAUGUGUGCAUGGAAAGAGGCAAAGAACAGACUGUGUUCAAGAAAAAUGGAGUGUGAGUGAUCUGCCAGAAGCUAGGUGAACACCUUUGCCAAAAAUGACACAAACGAAACAAGAGCUUUCUGUGUCCAAAACAUGAAUUUCCAGGCUAAGACCUUCAAGCAAUUCAAGAAGGCAACAGAAUUUUUUCAUUAUACUUCUGGUCUCUAGAUUUUGACCAGCUUUGGAAACAGGUUUAUUAAAAUGCUUCUAUUCAAAAUUAUUGGGAAUAUCUUACACUUUUUCAGGAAAUUUGACUUUUCCUACUCCAUUUGUCUGAUCACAGACAUGCAAUGCUAAAGCUGUUUUGGCUCCAGAGUUCCCAAUUUUUUUUGUAUUUUCUGGCCAACCUGGAAUGGCUCUGACUGCAUAUCCUGACCUCCUCCUGCCCUGCCCAAGACCAGUUACCUAAAUGAAAGACAUAGGUCAUGUUUUCUGUAGAUGCAGAAAUGUCUGAAUCCAUCCAUGCCCAUACGACAUAAUUCUGAGAUCCUCAGUAAGCUGGCUACAGAACAGUUCUGCUUUGAGAUAGCUAGCCACAGUAUUUUCUUAACUGAGAUAGACUGCCUGCACGGUACUGCAAUGUGCCAAACUGACAUGAAAGCUUGGGUAGCAUCAGUUCAGGUGGUUUUGCAUCCUAUUUGAUUGAAGAAAGUAGGCAUGUGAUAUACUUCUAUCCACAUUUUGCGGAUACUUAGCAGUACAGAAAAUCACCCAUGAGACUGGCAUAAACUGCCACAUGCACAUACGUAUUGAUAUUAUUGUUAUCAAGCCAGUGAUGAGAACACUUUCUGAGAAAUGGGAUGAAAUUCAGUGAAUGUACUGAAUGUACAGAAACUAGGAAGGUUACUCUUUUACUGAAACAAUUUAUUUAUAGUUGGGGUGAUGCUAAGUUACUUUUCCAAAACAGAACUGUAUGGUUGGUGAUACAGCUGCUAAAUGCAACCAAAAAGCCUAUGGCUUUCACCCAUAGAAACUCGUCUUUCUGUUUCUGUGACUACAAUGGAGCCUUUCAUGUAGAGUUAGUAUCUAGAUUAAGGCUUUCAAUAACUUUGAGGAACUGCCAAGAAAAGAGUAUGAAGUUCUGAUGUCAUUUUCAUUUCUGAAUAUAAUCCAAAGGAUAUAUUUUUCUAAGCAUAUUCUAUUAAUCUGUUGGUGAUAACGGAGGCAAGAAAAGAUAAUUUGCUUAGAUAACUACUUGUGAUGGGAAUACAUUAUUUAUUACACUGCUUUUUCACAUAUUGUUUAACUAAAACAUAUGGGCCAAUAAGAUCACAGCUACUGUUGGAGCUUGGAGCUGGCAGGGAGCUAAAUGCUGUGAAAUGAAUGGUCUAAAAUACAGAUGUAUUUGUGGUCAUUGUGUGUAAUUUACUGUAAUGCAAUUCACGUUAGUUUGGAAUAAACUAUUCUAACAUG
ensembl:lncRNA